AAGGGACACGGAGGCCAUGGUGGCGGACACGGGGGCAAAGGACAUGGAGGCGGCCAUGGAGGAAAGGGGCACCAUGGAUAAACAUAGCAGCUGAAAGAUGUGUCACGAGAAAGCCCUUGUUUUUUAUUCCACUGCUGCUGGACAACGGGAAACCACAACUCAUGUAAAACAUGAUGAUCUUGUAUUUUGUUUGACCAGACCUCUGAAUAAAAAUACACUCCAAAGUGUUAAAUCUGAUUACA